UACAGAGGUCUCAAGCGUUGUUCGGAUUCAUUGGGCGUAAAGGGUGCGUAGGUGGCGCGGUAAGUCGGGUGUGAAAUCUCGGAGCUUAACUCCGAAACUGCAUUCGAUACUGCCGUGCUUGAGGACUGGAGAGGAGACUGGAAUUUACGGUGUAGCGGUGAAAUGCGUAGAUAUCUGGAGGAACACCGGUGGCGAAGGCGGCGAUUCUGGACUGCAACUGACACUGAAAGACGAAAGCCAGGGAGCAAACGGG
rnacentral:rRNA from 1 species